rnacentral:rRNA from 1 species
AGCAGCCGCGGUAAUUCCAGCUCCAAUAGCGUAUAUUAAAGUUGUUGCAGUUAAAAAGCUCGUAGUUGAAUUUCGAGACCGGUCUACUGGUCGUGCUUUUGUACGUACUGGUAUUAUUGGUUUCUCCUUUCUGACGAAUCUUAAUGCCAUUAAUUUGGUGUUUUGGGGAAUCAGGACUGAUACUUUGAAAAAAUUAGAGUGUUUAAAGCAGGCUCACGCUUGAAUACAUUAGCAUGGAAUAACGAAAUAGGACGUUUGAUUUUAUUUUGUUGGUUUCUAGGAUCGACGUAAUGAUUAAUAGGGAUAGUUGGGGGCAUUAGUAUUCAAUUGUCAGAGGUGAAAUUCUUGGAUUUAUUGAAGACUAACUACUGCGAAAGCAUUUGCCAAGGAUGUUUUCAUUAAUCAAGAACGAAAGUUAGGGGAUCGAAGACGAUCAGAUACCGUCGUAGUCUUAACCAUAAACUAUGCCGACUAGGGAUCGGAUGAUGUUAAUUUUUUAAUGUACUCAUUCGGCGCCUUA